AUUCAGCUGACGAAUCCCAAACAGGACGGAACGCGCGUCCUGGAU
rnacentral:hammerhead_ribozyme from 1 species